rnacentral:rRNA from 1 species
GACGAACGCUGGCGGCGUGCCUAAUACAUGCAAGUCGAGCGGACUUUCAAGAAGCUUGCUUUUUGAAAGUUAGCGGCGGACGGGUGAGUAACACGUGGGCAACCUGCCUGUAAGACGGGGAUAACUCCGGGAAACCGGGGCUAAUACCGGAUAAUAUCUUUCUUCGCAUGACGGAAGGUUGAAAGGCGGCGCAAGCUGCCGCUUGCAGAUGGGCCCGCGGCGCAUUAGCUAGUUGGUGAGGUAACGGCUCACCAAGGCGACGAUGCGUAGCCGACCUGAGAGGGUGAUCGGCCACACUGGGACUGAGACACGGCCCAGACUCCUACGGGAGGCAGCAGUAGGGAAUCUUCCGCAAUGGACGAAAGUCUGACGGAGCAACGCCGCGUGAGCGAAGAAGGUCUUCGGAUCGUAAAGCUCUGUUGUCAGGGAAGAACAAGUACCGUUCGAAUAGGGCGGUACCUUGACGGUACCUGACCAGAAAGCAACGGCUAACUACGUGCCAGCCGCCGCAGUAA